rnacentral:ncRNA from 1 species
CUCUGAUUCAGGAAAUGAUUCAGGGCGGAAGGAG